rnacentral:lncRNA from 7 species
AUAGACAACAUCCAGGGGAAAGAAUAUGCUCUUUUAAAUAGAUUCUCCAGUUUGGAACUUCAAGUGAUCUAGAAAGUCAUUGAAAAGACUUUGUGCUGCGCCCCUCAGAAUGAGAGGGUAAGCAUGAACCAGACUUGAGGCUUCAGGAACACCUAUUUAAGAAACUGGCAAGCACAAAAGUUUUUAAGAGAAUAUUCUUCAAGCUAAUCCAGUACACAGUAAAGUCCUGGGAAAUCAACAAGCAUCAUCAGAAAACUAGAGACUUUGAAACAAAUAUUUCAUUUGUCCCUAGGAAAGUAAAAAAAAAAACCAUCAUUUCAGCCUAUGAGAUUUGCAUGUCAAAAUCUGAUUUUGUUCUCUUCCUAAGUUGCAGAGCAAAACCAGAACUGUAAGCAAUGCUUGAGUCCCAGUGUGAAGACAAGAGAAGUCUACUAUCUGUUCCUCUCUUUUAUAAUGCGCUAGUUAUAGUGUUUGCUCUAUAUUACUCUACUAGAUUAAGUAACAGAGAAGCAUCUAAUGCCUAAAUUAACCAGCCUAACUAUAUCCUGAUUAGCAAACUGCUGAACAUGCUGGAAGUCUGUGUGGCUCCUGACUGCCUGAAACUUCCUACUGAGUGGGAAAAUGAAAGAACAGCAUCAGAGGUGGGAAAAUCACCAAAGAGGUUAAACAUAUUCAACUGGAAGAAUCUGUAGAACUUUACCUCAACUUUCUUAAAACCUAUUAACUCUGAAGUACACACACUGGCUCCUUCACUGAAUAUUUUUCUAUUGCUUAUAGAAUUAGGGCCAACAGGACAGUUAAAGGCAAUGAGAGUUAUGCUGAAGAAUAACUUGUCCUCAGUGACUGCUCUGUAAUGCCUGAGAAUGCCAUCAUCUUCUUUUGCUUCUCACCAACAGCGACUUUGUCUCUCAGGUUUCAGUGAGAGGGAGUGGGAGAAUGAGGAGAUGAACAGAAGCAGAUGGAAAGCCAGAGGUGUCUAUGACUUUUCCUAUGGAAGAGAUUUCUUUAACCUUGUUGAGUAAUUUCUCUUGUGUGAUGAACUGAUG